AACGAACGCUGGCGGCAUGCUUUACACAUGCAAGUCGAACGGUAACAGGCCGCAAGGUGCUGACGAGUGGCGAACGGGUGAGUAAUGCAUCGGAACGUGCCCAGUCGUGGGGGAUAACGCAGCGAAAGCUGCGCUAAUACCGCAUACGAUCUCUGGAUGAAAGCGGGGGACCGACAGGACUCGCGCGAUUGGAGCGGCCGAUGUCAGAUUAGGUAGUUGGUGGGGUAAAGGCCCACCAAGCCAACGAUCUGUAACGGGUCUGAGAGGACGACCAGCCACACUGGGACUGAGACACGGCCCAGACUCCUACGGGAGGCAGCAGUGGGGAAUUUUGGACAAUGGGCGCAAGCCUGAUCCAGCAAUGCCGCGUGCAGGAAGAAGGCCUUCGGGUUGUAAACUGCUUUUGUACGGAACGAAACGGUCCGGGUUAAUACCCUGGGCUAAUGACGGUACCGUAAGAAUAAGCACCGGCUAACUACGUGCCAGCAGCCGCCGUAAAAC
rnacentral:rRNA from 1 species